rnacentral:lncRNA from 1 species
AUCUGAGGGAAGUAAGAGAUGCCAGAGAGGGGGUGAGAGAGAGAGAGAGAGAGAGAGAGAGAGAGAGAGAGAGAGAGAGAGAGAGAGAGAGAGAGAGAGAGAGAGAGAGAGAGAAUGAACACAAAGAUUGAUCAGAGUGAGAAUGAGCUCAGAGUGAUAAUGAGCUAGUGAGAGAUUGCAACUGACUGGGGUUUUAAACCAAGGGAAAGGGACUGUGAUUGGGUGAGGGAAGAGGAGCAGGUGACUUCUGUUUGGGGACUGAUUGAUGACUGAUUGGGGAGUGAUGAUUGUCACCUGUGAGGAGGAGAAGGAGAGAAAAGAAACACACAUACAGGAUACACACUUGUAUCCGUAACAGUAGUAAGAAACACGGUUCUGAAAGGGUGGUAUGACUUUUGACCCAUCUGGUGACUUUUCCUGUGUGGUCUGAUCAGCCACAUUGAAAAGCCAUUUGGAUGGUGAAUUUAAGGUCAUUGGUGAUAUUGAUUUUAAGGGAAUUUGUAGAACUGAUAAUUAUGAAGGAGUUAAAGUUCUUAGACACAAUUGAUAAUUAGAACCAAUGAGAAGACUAAAAGGGCAAAGCCUUAGACUAAGGGUAGGCUUCUUCAAGUCUAUUUUCCUAGAACAAUAAGGGUAAAAUAAUUUUUCUUGGUGGAGUAAAUCAGAUUAGUCAUUUAGAUCUGAUUAUGUGAUUUGAGAAUAUUUUGACCAGUAGCAGGGGUAUUUUUUACAUGAUCUAGAUAAGUUUAUUUUCCCUUAGGAAGUCAGCUGUUGUUGAAAGCAGUGUAAGAGAUUUAACACAACAAGGCUGUGGAAUGGAUAUAAUAUUACUAUAUUUUGUUGUGAAUAAGUUUAAUAAUGAUAGAUUUAUGUCAACAGGACAGGGAUAUAUGACAUCUGUAGGUGAUCCAGGAUCAUUGAGGGUAUCGAGAUACAUUUAAGUAGAUAUGCAAUAUCUAGACAGGUUGAUUUUUCUAAAACUCAGGAGUGCAACCAAGGAGACAAUGAGACGUUUAGUCAAUAUUUGGAAACAACCAUGUUAUCACAAAAAGCUGGAGACAGAUAGAAGGGCAGACAGAGAGAUCCUCCCCUGCACUGCUGAAACCUUGAGGGUUGGGGAGUAGCAGGAAGAAAGAAGGGGGGCCAGCAGGAGUAGAUAGGAAGAGAAUUUGGUUCACUUAGCUUUAGGAUAUUAAUUCAUGGAGAGACUAUCGGCUCCAUAGGUAUAUAUUUUAGUUUUGAUUUUAAGUUUAUGUUUGGUAAAUUCGCUAGGAGGAGAUAUGAUCAUUUUGUUCAAAGUAAUUGUUACCCUAACUAAAAGGGCAAUGAAAGCUUAGUUGGUUUCAGGUGUUAGACACUGAACCAUUGCCCAGACACUAUUCUGCACAGUAGGCCGAAAUAGUAGCAUUGACUAGAACCGGUGAAAUAAGAAAGGAGAGAAAAGUUACUAUCUACACAGACAAGCACAUAGACAUUUAAAACCAUACAAAACAGCACAGAUAAAUCUUAAAGAAGAUAAAACACUUGACAGAGAAUUGUUACAGAAUAGCCGAGGAUGAAGGCCCCAGGGAGAAUUGGACAUGUGGAAAAUGAAAGGGGGCAUCCUACAAGAGAAGGUCUGACAUAAGGAUAAUUUACUUAUCCUACCAAAGACAUUGUAUGGAUACGCAGCAAUAUUGAUACAUAGGCUAAGCAAUGUAUCAAGGGGAGGGAAGUAUAGUAGAGUAGUUAGGAAAGAGUGAUGGCCUAGAGGAUAAUUACUUAAACACAUUUUUUUGUAAGAUAUCCAUUCCAACAGUUGGAAAUUGACCUUAUUGAGAUAUUCCGAAAUGAGGGGAAGAAGGGGUGUUUAACAAGAAUAGAUAAGUAUAGCAAAUGGGUAGAAGCGUUCCCAACUUACUUGGUGGACAUGAUUAUGGUAGCUAAAAUAUUAAGUCAAGAUAUUAUCCCUGGAGUUGGUUUACUAGGAGCCAUCUCUUUAAAUGAUGGAUGACAUUUUAGCUAAUCAAGUAGAGCCUAUAGAAUACCAGAGUUAGAGAUACCAGAACAGGUAGACAUAGAAGUUGAAGAAAUACUAACAGAGCACAUGAGAAGACUGUUUGUUAACCAACCCCGUAUGUCCAAGAUUUUGUGUCCAACAGGUGAAUUACAGGAGAAGGUGAUUCACUCAAUCCAACCAGGAGACUGGGUGUGGAUCCAGUCCCUGAGGAGGAAAGACUGGAAGCAGCCCCAUUGGGAAGGCCCAUACCAGGUUCUGUUAAACCACUGCCUUUGCCAUUAGAAAAGCUGAGAGAGUCACUUGGGUCCACGUUAUCCACUGCAAGAAGGUAUGUACACAUAUGAGCACUGCUGAUCACACACAGAGUUAGGAGAAGAACCGAUACCAACAGGGUCCGGGGGUUACCUCCUUAACGAAGAUUUCCUAUCCCGACCGUUCAUCACUGUGUGUGCUCCUAGAGGUGUGAGUAUGGGGUGGUACCUAGCAGAGAGACUAAGGGCAGGAGAGGGUUGGCGGUUUUUGGGAAGAGUAGAGACUCUGAGCUGCAUCAUAGUUUUGGUAACCUUUCUGAUACAUUCAGUGUGUGUAUGCAAUUAGUAUAGAGAGAUAGAGAAGCAGAUGGUGAAGGGAGUAAAACCUCAGAGAGUUCCUAACCUUGAAGGCUGAGCCAGAAGGUGAUAAACAGUGUGAGAAUUUUAUGGGGGUUGCAGGUCACCAACGGAUUGUGUGUAAAUGCAUGUGCGUAAGUAAGCAAGAACUAUAUAAUGACUGUUUUGUUAUCCUGACACCAGAACGUUCUCAUGAAUAAAGCUACAGAAACCUUUUGCAGAAAGCUGAGUCCUUGCCUAAUUAUUUUAACCCAUUGUCUUACAAACCUUGGGCAUUAGUCAAGGCGAAUUGAUUAUUGAUUAUUAUCAUCAAGAUAUAAAAUUCUUAUAACAACGACAAAACCUAUUCCCCCUCAGGAGACUGAAAGAUUUGGCAUGGGUCCUCAGAUCCUCAAAAAGUUAUACAGCUGCACCAUCGGGAGCAUCCUAACUGAUUGCAUCACUGCCUGGUAUGGCAACUGCUCGGCCUCCAACCGCAAGGCACUACAGAGUGUCGUGCGUACGGCCCAGUACAUCACUGGGGCCAAGCUUCCUGCCAUCCAGGACCUCUAUACCAGGCGGUGUCAGAGGAAGGCCCUAAAAUUGUCAAAGACAGUCAUAGACUGUUCUCUCUUGUUAUUUUACUGCUGCUCUUUAAUUAUUUGUUACUUUUAUUUCUUAUUUUUUACUUAUCGAUUUUUUUCUCAACACUUAUUUUUCUUAAAACUGCAUUGUUGGUUAAGGGCUUGUAAGCAAGCACUUCACUGUAAGGCCUACACCUGUUGUACUCGGUGCAUGUGACAAAUACAAUUUGAUUUGAUUAGACCAUUCUUUCAUGGCUGCAGCAGAGUGACCAAUAGCAGGGCUCCGCCUCCCAUCAAAAGACCUGUGAGUCAAAGGAGAAACAGAGUGAUAAAUACACUGAACAAAAAUAUAAACGCAAUGCAACAUGCAAAGUGUGUUUCAUCAGCUGAAAUUAAACAAUCCAUAAAUGUUUCAUACAAGCUUAUUUCUCUCAAAUUUUGUGCACAAAUUUAUUUUAAUCCCUGUUAGUGAGCACUUCUCCUUUGCCAAGAUAAUCCAUCCACCUGACAGGUGUGGCAUAUCAAGAAGCUGAUUAAACAUCAUGAUCAUUACACAGGUGCACCUUGUGCUGGGGACAAUAAAAGGCCACUCUAAAAUCUGCAGUUUUGUCACACAGCACAAUGCCACAGAUGUCUCAAGUUGAGGGAGCGUGCAAUUGGCAUGCUGACUGCAGGAAUGUCCACCAGAGCUGUUGCCAGAGAAUUUAAUGUUAAUUUCUCUACCAUAAGCGGCCUCCAACAUCGUUUUAGAUCAUUUGGCAGUAUGUCCAACAGCCUCACAGACCACAUGUAACCACGCCAGCCCAGGUGACAGCAUGCUCCAGUUCCUGCCAGUAUCCAGCAACUUCACACAGCCAUUGAAGAGGAGUGGGACAACAUUCCACAGGCCACAACCAACAGCCUGAUUAACUCUAUGCAAAGGAGAUGUGUCGCGCUGCAUGAGGCAAAUGGUGGUCUCAUGCAUAUACUGACUGGUUUUCUGAUCCACGUCCCUACUUUUUUAAGGUAUCUGUGACAAACAGAUGCAUAUCUGUAUUCCCAGUCAUGUGAAAUCCAUAGAUUAGGGACUAAUUAAUUAAUUUAAAUUGACUGACUUCCUUAUAUGAAUUGUAACUCAGUCAAAUAUUUGAAAUUGUUGCAUGUUGCAGUUAUAUUUUUGUUCAUUUUCCAAUUAUUUUGUUUUAGCUACAGUACCAAUCAAAAGUUUGGACACACCUACUCAUUCAAGGGUUUUUCUUUAUUUGUACUAUUUUUUACAUUGGAAAAUAAUAGUGAAUUAUGUAGUAACCAAAAAAGUGUUAAAGAAAACAAAAUAUAUUUUCGAUUUUCGAUUCUUCAAAGUAGCGACCCUUUGCCUUGAUGAUAGCGUUGCACAAGCUUGGCAUUAUCUCAUCGCAUUCUUUCAGCUUCACCUGUCUUGAAGGAGUUCCCACAUAUGCUGAGCUGCUUUUCCUUCACUUUGCAGUCCAACUCAUCCCAAACCAUCUCAAUAGGGUUGAGGUCAGGUGAUUGUGGAGGCCAGGUCAUCUGAUGCAGCACUCCAUCACUCUCCUUCUUGGUCAAAUAGCCCUUACACAACCUGGAGGUGUGUUGGGUCAUUGUCCUGUUGAAAAAUAAAUUAUAGUCCCACUAAGCACAAACCAAAUGGGAUGGCGUAUCGCUGCAGAAUGCUGUGGUAGCCAUACUGGUUAAGUGUGCUUUGAAUUCUAAAUAAAUCACAGACAGUGUCAACAGCAAAGCACCCCCUCACAAUCACACCUCCUCCUCCAUGCUUCACGGUGGAACCACACAUGCAGAGAUCACAAAGACACGGCGGUUGGAACAAAAAAUCUAAAAUUUGGACUCAUCAGACCAAAGGACAAAUUUACACCGGUCUAUUGUCCAUUGCUUGUGUUUCUUGGCCUAAGUAAGUCUCUUCUUAUUAUUAGUGUCCUUUAGUAGUUUUUUUUUGCAGUAAUUUGACAAUGAAGACUUGAUUCAUGCCGUCUCCUUUUGAUGCUGAGAUGUGUCUGUUACUUGAACUCUGUGAAGCAUUUAUUUGGGCUGCAAUUUCUGAGGCAGUUAACUCUAAUGAACUUAUCCUCUGCAGCAGAGUUUGGGUCUUCUCCUCCUGUGGCGGUCCUCAUGAGAACCAGUUUCUUCAUAGCUCUUGAUGGUUUUGCGACUGAACUUGAUGAAACUUUCAAAGUUCCUGAAAUUUUCCGAAAUUAACUAAUCUUCACGUCUUAAAGUAAUUAUGGACUAUCGUUUCUCUUUGCUUAUUUGAGCUGUUCUUGCUAUAAUAUGGACUUGGUCUUUUACCAAAUAGAGCUAUUUUCUGUAUACCACUCCUACCUUGUCACAACGCAACUGAUUGGCUCAAACGCAUUAAGAAGGAAAGAAAUUCCACAAAUGAACUUUUAACAAGGCACACCUGUUAAUUGAAAUGUAUUCCAGGUGACUACCUCAUUAAGCUGGUUGAGAGAAUGCCAAGAGCGUGCAAAGCUGUCAUUUUUAAUUUUUUUUAUUUAACUAGGCAAGUCAGUUAAGAACAAAUUCGUAUUUACAAUGACGGCCUACCCCGGACAAACCCUAACACAGACAGCACUGGGCCAAUUGCGCGCCGCUCUAUGGGACUCCCAAUCACAGCAGGUUGUGAUAAAGCCUGGAAUCGAACCACGGUCUGUAAUGAUGCCUCUAGAACUGAGAUGCAGUGCCUUAGACCGCUCGGGAGCCCAAGGCAAAAGGUCCCUACUUUGAAGAAUCUCAAAAAUAAAAUAUAUUUAGAUUUGUUUAACAUUUUUUUUGGUUGCUACAUGAUUCCAUAUGUGUUAUUUCAUAGUUUUGAUGUCUUCACUAUUAUUCUACAAUGUAGAAAAUUGUAAAAAAUAUAGUACUGCAUAUAUUAUCAUAAUCUUUAGAAUAUAGUUUUCUGUGGGAUCAUCUCGCAACCUACAGUAUAUGUAGUUUAGCUGUAUAUAAACAACAUAAUCUGAGUCAUAAUAAUAAUACAAGAGAAAGAUAAUAGAGAGUGAUUCUUACCAGUGAAGAGAGAACCAUGAACUGUGCUGCCUGAGUCAGGUAGUCGUGCAUCUAAAACAAAAAUGAUUGGAAAUAUCUAAAACAUGUGUAUAACAUUAAAAUCAGUAUGGCAUUAGAAAUAUGUAAUUCUAAGAUCAUGUCAAUUCAAUUAUACUACAAAACAUUAAGAACACCUGCUCUUUCCAUGACAUAGACUGACAAGGUGAAAGCUAUGCUCCCUUAUUGUAUGUAAUUUGUUAAAUCGGUGUAGAUGAAGGGGAGGAGCCAGGUUAAAGAAGGAUUUUUAACCCAUGAGACAAUUGACAUAGAUUGUGUAUGUGUGCAAUUCAGAGGGUGAAUGGGCUAGACAAAAUAUUUAAUUGCCUUUGAUCGAGGUUUAGAAGUAGGUGUCAGGCGCACCGGUUUGUGUCAAGAACUGCAAUACUGCUGGGUAUUUCACACGCAACAAUUUCCUGUGUGUAUCAAGAAUGGUCCACCACCCAAAGGACAUCCAGACAACUUGACACAACUGUGGGAAGUAUUGGAAUCAACAAGAGCCAGCAUCCCUAUGGAACGCUUUCGAAACCUUGUAGAAUCCAUGCCCAACGAAUUGAGGCUGUUCUGAGGGCAAAAGGGUAGAAAGGUGUUCUUAAUGUUUUGUACACUCAGUGUAGUUAGGUAAUGACUUACCAGUAGUUAAUAUAACAUCUUAUUUCAGUGUACCAAUUUUUGUAAUCUACCAGAUUAUUUAAUUAGCUAAAUCUUUGAUAAUUCUCAAAAAUUUUCCCAGACUGCACUUGGACAUUCCUCCCAAUGAAUUACAAAAAGUCCUUUCUUUUUAGAGACAGAUUGCAAUAUACUGGGGGAGGGGUGGUCCAAAAUAGGGGAGGGUUGUCAAACGUAUGUUUUUGCUUUGGGGUGGGUUGUGUUGUAGUCUACCAGUCUAAUGGUCUAUCCUGCCCUCUAUCCACCAUUCACAGUGACAGUUGGCCGGCCAAGUGCAGGCUCCUGUGCAACUUCCUAUUCAGGUAGGAUGCAAUUUUGAAACUUAAAUGUAUUUAUAAUAAUUUGUUUUAUCAUUAUUGUAUAUAAUUGUCAUUAUUGUAAGCUUAUUUCUGAAUUGAAACCAGUUCUUUAAAUAUGCAACACCUAUUUUGUUUAAUUCUGUCGAGACAUGGCUAAAUUAAAUCAGAUCUGACUUUUUAAUUGUGUGCUCCAUAUUUAGUUUAAGAUAAGUAGGUCUGUUGUAAAAUAAAUACAUUUUUUAUGUUAUUUGUUGGGUAUGGUAGGCCCUCUCCUUUGUUGGUAAUUGCUGUUGUAGCCUGUUCAAAGUUUUUGUGAAGGUUUAAACCAGUUCGCAUGUGUUUUGUUUCAUUCUGUUUCUGCAAUGCUGUGUUUGCCGGAAUAUAAUAGCCUGCUCAUCAUUUUCCUAUAAGUAAUGGCUUGACUUACUUUUGGUAUUACCCUAAUAAAGUUUUGAAACUUUUGUGAAGGUUUGGUGUAGCUGUUAUUAAGCUUUAGCUACUGCAAGCCUAUGAUAUGAAGGCAGUGCGCACCGGCGCUCCAACUGACUCAGACAGUUGAACUUGAGGAUCCUGGACUUCCUGACGGGCCGCCCCCAGGUGGUAAGGGUAGGGAACAACACAUCUGCCACGCUGAACCUCAACACGCGGGCCCCUCAUGGGUGCCUGCUUAGUCCCCUCGUGUACUCCCUGUUCACCCAUGACUGCGUGGCCAAACACGACUCCAACACCAUCAUUAAGUUUGCUGACGACACAACAGUGGUAGGCCUGAUCACCGAGAACGAUGAGACAGCCUAUAGGAAGGAGGUCAGAGAACUGGCAGUGUGGUGCCAAGACCACAACCUCUCCCUCAAUGUGAGCCAGUCAAAGGAGCUGAUCGUGGACUACAGGAAAAGGCGGGCCGAACAGGCCCCCAUUAACAUCGACAGGGCUGUAGUGGAGCAGGUCGAGAGUUUCAAGUUCCUUGGUGUCCACAUCACCAAUAAACUAUCAUGGUCCAAACACACCAAGACAGUCGUGAAGAGAACACAACAAAACUUUUUCCCCCUCAGGAGACUGAAAAGAUUUGGCAUGCAUCCCAGAUCUUCAAAAAGUUCUACAACUGUUCCAUCGAGAGCAUCCUGACCGGUUACAUCACCGCCUGUUAUGGCAUGUGACCGUAAGGCGCUACAGAGGGUAAUGCGUACGGCCCAGUACAUCACUGGGGCCAAGCUUCCUGCAAUCCAGGACCUAUAUAAUAGGCAGUGUCAGAGGAAAGCCCAUAAAACUGUCAAAGACUCCAGUCACCCAAGUCAUAGACUGUUUUCUCUGCUACCACACGGCGAACGGUAUCAGAGCGCCAAGUCUCAGACCAAAAGGCUCCUUAACAGUUUCUACCCCCAAGCCAUAAGACUGCUGAACAGUUAAUCAAAUGGCCACCGGAUUAUUUACAUUGACAUCCCCCUCCAUUUGUUUUUUUACACUGCUGCUACUCACUGUUUAUUACCUAUGCAUAGUCACUUCAUCCCUACCUGCAUUUACAAAUUACCUCGACUAACCUGUAUCCCCACACACUGACUCGGUACCGGAACCCCUGUAUAUAACCUCGUUAUAGUUAUUUUAUUGUGUUACUUUUUAUUAUUUUUUACUUUAGUUUAUUUGGUAAAUAUUUUCUUAAGUCUUUCUUGAACUGCACUGUUGGUUAAGGGCUUGUAAGUAAGCAUUUCACGGUAAGGUCUACACUUGUUGUAUUCGGCUCAUGUGACAAAUAAAGUUUGAUUUGAUUUGUUCUCCAAGUUCAUAAUGUUAAGAAAAUACAUUAUUAACUAUAAAUAUAAAAUAUUUCUUAUGCAAUAUACUAAUUCAAAUGAACUAAAAUAAUAGUAACCAGAGAGUGGAUACAACAGCUACCCCAGUACAGGGUAGAGCUACAAUAAUUUCGCAACAUCAUUUCGGGUGAGCCUAGCUAUGACCACAGGGCUGGAGCAGGAAAGAUAUCAUGUUUAAACCUAGGCUUAUUUAUGCGAAACAUGCACGAAUGGCCGUCGUUUGGUAAGCCAAGCUGACAACACACAGUGGCAGCUAAAUUGAGUUGAUAAACUAGCUAGCUAGCUAGUGUAGUAUGCUAGUGAUACCAGGGGAGAUGAAUGCCUAGGGGAGGCAAUCCGAAUCUCACGUUUUACAGCUGGUUAGGCUAACAACCUUCCUAGAUGUGUUUAUCUAGGGAAGAGACCCGUUUAAGUUUUAAAUAGUUGAAGAACAAGUAGUGCCCGGUGGCCUUGAUAACCACAGCAGGGAUAUAGUGACAAGGUUAACAUCGGAAUACGGUGGCCAACACACACACUAGCUGGUGGGCUAAAUGAGUACAAGACAAG